rnacentral:rRNA from 1 species
CCUACGGGUGACAGCAGUGAGGAAUAUUGGUCAAUGGGCGCGAGCCUGAACCAGCCAAGUAGCGUGAAGGAUGACUGCCCUCCGGGUUGUAACCUUUUUUUAUACAGGAAUAAAGUGAGGCAAGUGUGCCUUUUUGGAUGUACUUUACGAAUAAGGAUCGGCUAACCUCGUGCCAGCAUCCGCGGUAAUACGGAGGAUCCCAGCGUUUGCCGGAUUUAUUGGGUUUAAAGGGAGCGUAGAUGGGAUGUUAAGUCAGUUGUGAAAGUUUGCGGCUCAACCGUAAAAUUGCAAUUGAUACUGGCAGCCUUGAGUGCAGGUGAGGUAGGCGGAAUUCGUGGUGUAGCGGUGAAAUGCUUAGAUAUCACGAAGAAC